UGGGGAAUAUUGGGCAAUGGGCGAAAGCCUGACCCAGCAACGCCGCGUGAAGGAAGAAGGCCUUCGGGUUGUAAACUUCUUUUAAGAGGGACGAAGAAAGUGACGGUACCUCUUGAAUAAGCCACGGCUAACUACGUGCCAGCAGCCGCGGUAAUACGUAGGUGGCGAGCGUUAUCCGGAUUUACUGGGUGUAAAGGGCGCGUAGGCGGGAAUGCAAGUCAGAUGUGAAAUCCAGGGGCUCAACCCUUGAACUGCAUUUGAAACUGUAUUUCUUGAGUGUCGGAGAGGUUGACGGAAUUCCUAGUGUAGCGGUGAAAUGCGUAGAUAUUAGGAGGAACACCAGUGGCGAAGGCGGUCAACUGGACGAUAACUGACGCUGAGGCGCGAAAGCGUGGGGAGCAAACAGGAUUAGAUACCC
rnacentral:rRNA from 1 species